UCACACCUGUUCCCAUGCCGAACACAGAAGUUAAGCUCUCCAGCGCCGAUGGUAGUUGGGGCUUUGCCCCUGCAAGAGUAGGACGCCGCCAGGC
rnacentral:rRNA from 1 species